rnacentral:rRNA from 1 species
UACGAAGGGGGCUAGCGUUGCCCGGAAUCACUGGGCGUAAAGCGCACGUAGGCGGAUCGUUAAGUCAGGGGUGAAAUCCUGGAGCUCAACUCCAGAACUGCCUUUGAUACUGGCGACCUUGAGUUCGGGAGAGGUGAGUGGAACUGCGAGUGUAGAGGUGAAAUUCGUAGAUAUUCGCAAGAACACCAGUGGCGAAGGCGGCUCACUGGCCCGGUACUGACGCUGAGGUGCGAAAGCGUGGGGAGCAAACAGG